AUGUUUUUUUGGCAGUACCAAAUAAUAUAUUCCUCAAAACUUCUUAAUGGCACUGAGGCUUUGUGGAUAGUUGGUCACAUGAUGAGAAAAUUCAGCUAUCAUGGGCAAGGAGAAAACAUUUUACCUAUUCACGCAAGCAAUGCUAUGACCCUGCUUACACUCCUUAAUCGUCUGGACAGGAAGCUUGGCUUCUGGUUCAACCACAUGCUCUUCAGCAUGAUUCUUCAGGACCUGUUUAUGACAGCGCUGUUACUGGAGAGGUACAUGACCCACCAUAACAUUUCCUUUUUCCAAGAGGAAACGUACAGUGGAGGAAGGAAAAAAAAAACACAACACGGUUUGUUUCUAAAUUCCAUGAGUAAAGCUCCAGUUAUGCUUUAA
rnacentral:lncRNA from 1 species